rnacentral:rRNA from 1 species
AUUGAACGCUGGCGGCAGGCCUAACACAUGCAAGUCGAACGAGUGGCGGACGGGUGAGUAAUGUCUGGGAAACUGCCCGAUGGAGGGGGAUAACUACUGGAAACGGUAGCUAAUACCGCAUACCAUCGGAUGUGCCCAGAUGGGAUUAGCUAGUAGGUGGGGUAACGGCUCACCUAGGCGACGCUCCCUAGCUGGUCUGAGAGGAUGACGAGCGAGACUGGAAAUGAGAAACGGUCCAGACGCCUACGGGAGGCAGCAGGGGGGAAUAUGGCACAAUGGGCGAAAGCGGGAUGCAGCCAGGCCGCGUGUAUGAAGAAGGCCUUGGGGUUGUAAAGUACUUGCAGCGAUGAGGCGUUAUCUGCAGAAGAAGCGCCGGCUAACUGCGUGCCAGCCGCCGCGUUAAUAC